AACGAACGCUGGCGGCGCGCCUAACACAUGCAAGUCGAACGAGAGACUCUUCGGAGUAGUAAAGUGGCGUACGGGUGAGGAAUGCAUGGGUAACCUGCCCUUGAGAAUGGGAUAACUCGCCGAAAGGUGAGCUAAUACCGUAUACGCUUGUUGUCUCACGGGAUAGCAAGGAAAGCUGGACCGAGGGUUUGGCGCUCAAGGAUGGGCUCAUGUCCUAUCAGCUUGUUGGUAGGGUAACGGCCUACCAAGGCAACGACGGGUAGCUGGUCUGAGAGGAUGAUCAGCCACACUGGCACUGAGACACGGGCCAGACUCCUACGGGAGGCAGCAGUGAGGAAUAUUGCGCAAUGGGACGAAAGCCUGACGCAGCGACGCCGCGUGGGGGAUGAAGGUUUUCGAAUUGUAAACCCCUUUCAGGAGGAAGAGGAAGGACGGUACUCCAGGAAUAAGGAUCGGCUAACUACGUG
rnacentral:rRNA from 1 species